CUGCUGCCUUCCGUAGGAGUCUGGGCCGUGUCUCAGUCCCAAUGUGGCCGGCCAACCUCUCAGUCCGGCUACUGAUCGUCGCCUUGGUGGGCCGUUGCCCCACCAACUAGCUAAUCAGACGCGAGUCCAUCUCAGAGCGAUAAAUCUUUGGCAGUCAGAGCCAUGCGACCCAACUGCAUUAUGCGGUAUUAGCAGCUGUUUCCAGCUGUUAUUCCCCACUCCAAGGCAGGUUACU
rnacentral:rRNA from 1 species